rnacentral:lncRNA from 1 species
GGGCCGAGUGCGGGAGAGGACAUGCGUCUUUAUCCCACAGCAGAGGGAAACCUCCCCAGGCCUCUAGUCCAGGCCUGACCCCUAUCGGGGUGGCCUUUGGGAGGGAGGGUCCCUUGGGAUGCUAGGUAAAGAUCGGGGAGGUCAGGGCAGCAGGAGCCGGGCUGGCAGGAGGCUGACGGUCCAUGCAGGUGCAUGAAGGUGUAGGAGAACUUGCAAAAGACCCCAAGAAUGAAUAUGCCUCCUUAAACGUGUGUCCUGUGUGCCCCGCUCACCUUACCCGAGACCCAGCCCCGGUCACAGAGGGAGAAAUUUGAAUAUAAGACACAAUGGAAAUAGCAAAACCAGUUCCACUCUCCUUAGUCUUCUAAACAGAAAGAGGGAUUCGAUGUGGGAAGCAGUAAAAGUUUAUUCCACACCAGGAGAUUUUAUGUUUUUGCCCCUAGAGCACUUUUCCCCUUGUUUUACUCGUGUUUCGGAAAUCUAGAAGACUUGUGAGUAUGGAGGAAAACAAUGAAAACAGCCUAACUGUUGGAUAUUUUUAAAAGAAAAUUCAGCAGAGCAGUUUACCCCCUUCCAGAUGUGGUUUCGCAUGGGCACAGUGGGACGGAAACUAGAUUCUCAACAGCAAAAGCCUUAUUUUCACUGAGAGUGGUUGAAGGAAAAUUAUUGUAUGCUGUUAAAAGAACUGAAAAACAGCAUGUGAAUCUCAUCAGCUGGAUAUAUUGUGACAACAUCAGCUGAUUGUUAUGCAUCUCAAAAUAUGAAACUCCAUCAAUUUUUCUAAAUUUGCUUUUGCACAUCAGUGGAACUUGAGCGAGCUAUCUAUCUAUCUACCUACCUAUCUAUCUAUCUAUCUAUCUAUCUAUCUAUCUAUCUAUCUAUCUAUCAUCUAGUCUAGAAAGCUGAGAAGGAAAGCAGAGACCAAAAGCCCAGCUGGAAGGGCACCUGCUGGCUGCAUCUGUUGACUGCACCUGUUAGUAGCAUCAGGAGGCACACCUGCACAAGGUGUGGAGUAGUCUGGGGGCUUGUGGGAGAGGGAGAUGAUCUGAUCGACACCACCAGUCUUCCCGCAUCCUCAGCACCACCUCCAUCCUCAUCGGAUGUAGAUACACUAUCCAGCCUCAGUGACUCGCUCCAGCUCACGCACCUGCUACAUGGACAUCGUGGAGGCCAAGCUUCUGAUCUUGGCAGGACAGUGGCUCUGCACAGCUGACCAUUUGACACCCCAGGACCUAGGGAUGGACAUGGUGAAAUAUAACAUUCUGAUCUGGCCCUAAAUCUGCUGCUUGGUCACAGAAGGCCAAGGGAAGGCUUAUGCGGUUAAGGGAAAAAACUCACCCGAAGCAUAUCAAGUGUUGUCUGCUGUCAUCAGGCUCUGAGCAGUUCUCUCUACAAUGAUGCUUAGAAAACCAGGAAGAAAUACUCCCACCUCCAAGGCUGUGUUGCUAAGUGUGUGUUUCCAGAGUUGCCUUGGGCAAAGUCCGUUGCCCAUCACCACAGCUUCGGGUCAUCGCUGCCACGAGGACUCCCCCUUCACAGGUCAGCUGCACCCAGCACCCAUCAAAACCACACGGAGAUCACCUGUGACAACCGGGGAACAGACAACUUUGCACGUUCAUGCCCCAGGUGUUAGUGCAGGUGCUCUCGGGUGAUGGGCUUAAACCUGCCCUGAACUCUCUCUGUGUGUGUUAAAGCUUUCAAAUAUGAAACAUUUCUGCCCUGGGCAGGACAAUAGGUCCACACAGCUGACCACGUGACACCCACGACCCUUUCAAAUAUUUCUAAAAGUUUCAGAUUCUCUAAUUUUCGUUCUUGGCCUUUUGUUGUUGUUGUAACUUUUUUAAAAGGAAGAAGGGAAUCCACGCUUCCCUGCCUGCUUGGCCUGAGUUGACGUCCUUGCUCUGGGCUGUGAGGUCUACAUACCUGGCCCUGCAAGGUUCAGCCCCACGCAUGGACCUUCUGUGUCUGCAACCUCCCAGCAUCAGCACGAAAAAGCAACCUGCCGUAGAGAGCGGGGGUGUGGUCCAGCAGUCCUGCACCUGCUGGGAUGUGGAUGAGGCGCAUGCUGAGAACAACCCGGUGGGAAAGGCCUACUUUCUCAAGUGCUCCUUCUGGGAAAACAGCCCCAGGUGUUCAGAGACCAGCUGCAGACCAAACGGCAAAGCUGCAGACCAUCCCCCGCCGGCCUUUGUGACCAAGAAGAAACACCCUGUGAGUUAAGUGUCCAGUUAAAACAUGGAGAGGCCAAGGUGAUGGCUGAGCGGCACUCAGUGUUGGGUCCUUCUGGCUUGGGAAGGGCACGCCCCGUGCCUUGAGCCCUUUGUCACACGUUUUUGUUCCAUGAAACAGAUAAUUGCUGAUUUGGGGACGAUAACCUCAGAUACUAGCUAAACCAUUUUUGAACUUCCCAAGGAGCCUUUACUCGCUGUCAUUUGAUCCCACCCUUCCCGGCUUUUCAUUCCUGAUCCCACUUGUUUACAGUGAAUUUAAUCUCUGUCAUACUGAGGGUUUAGUGGGACAAAUCCCAACCUCCCUGGCCAUGUGACCACAUCAGCUCAGCCCAGAAAAGGGGCUUUAAAUGUGUCUAUCUCUCGAAAGAACAAACAGUCUCAAGGCUUUAAAACUCCCCCUGUAAAGAGUCUUUAAAGGACAUCAGCCCUUGGAGUGAUAGGGGGACCACCCCGGGACAGGAUAAACCAGGUUUU